CACCUGUCUUGGAAACUGUUGACUCUGUUAUGCUUACUGUCCUGCAAGAGGAUAUCGGACGUACGUGCCUUGGACUGGGACGUAUUAUCAUUCACCACAGAGGGCGUAUCAUUCUCCAUAUCGAGACGAACUAAAGGCAAUACAAAAUCUAUCUCUUACCCGAGAUACCCGGGACAUCCUUCACUAUGUCCGGUCAGAUGCCUUCGGUCCUACCUGGAUUGUACUCAGAGGUUACGCUCACCUGCAUCAAGUCAAUUAUUUAUAUCCUUUCGAACUCCUUUUCUACCAGUGUCCACGCCCACGUUAGCUCGUUGGGUCAAGAACCUGUUAGCAUUAACAGGAAUUGACACUUCGAAAUUCUCUGCACACUCGGUGAGAGGCGCGAUGGCAUCCAAGGCGUCAACGAUUGGUUGUCGCCUCGAGGACAUAUUAAAGGCCGCUGAUUGGUCACAAGUAUCGACGUUCAGAGAAUUCUAUUUUCGGCCAAUUGAACAUAUCUCUCUUCAGGUAGUGGCCAGGCUUUGAACUAGCAUAAUAUGAGCCUCCGUGUCAUUAAUAAAAUUCCAAGAUUUUACUAGUAACAUGACGUAAAGUCAUGAUUUUAUUAAUGACACGGAGGCGAGUAUUAUCCCCACCCACCCACCCGGUGGGCGUGAGACAGUCUAUAAGGAGAGUCUUAAGACUCUCGCAAAGGUAAGUAACAAGGAAUUUCAAGGGCAUGUACACCAUCCUUUUUAUGUACACACAUAACUUGUUUUAUCAGUUUGUUAUAUCAAUUGUAAGGAACAUAAGGAAUAAGGAUAACAUACAGUUCCAAAGUUUGGAUUUUACCGUACAUUCUCUUUGUUUCCACAGCAUAACGUACUGGACACGGACUGGGUGGAAUACCGGAAGUUAUGGAAAGUUACGACGGCUCUUCGUCGACACAGACAAGAAAGAGGAAGUUAGAAGACUGUUCAAGAC